rnacentral:lncRNA from 1 species
CAAAAAUUAGCCGUGCGUGGGGGUGGGCACUUGUAAUCCCAGCUACUCAGGAGGCUGAGGCAGGAGAAACACUUGAACCCGGGAGGCAGAGGUUGCAGUGAGCCGAAGAUCAUGCCUCCAGCCUGGGUGACAGAGCGAGACUCCGUCUCAAAAAAAUAAAAAUAAAAACAGAAAUAUGGUACUAAUACGUAGUUCAAUAUGGGCAUUAUUCAGAGGACCCAACAUUAACUUUACAAUGGACUUUACAAGGAACUUGAUAACCUAACUAGUUAACUGAUUCCUGUGGUACCUAAGAAAUUAAUAGAUAGCAGGUAGUAAGGGUGUUUUCUGCCAGGGCUUUGAGGGAGUGAUGAUAAAAGAGGGAUGGUGUUUCUAGUCCUGAAAAUAAAAUAAAAUAAAAUAAAAUACCUACUGCUGCUUCAGUCAGCACUAGGUCUCCUCUAUUUUUGAAAAUGGAGCUCUAAGCUAUGGUCAUUAUGAGGCUUAGUCAGACUCCUCCCAUCAUUUCUUUAUCAUUAAAUCUUCCCUAAGCACCAAGACAAGAUAGCUGGGAUCCCCACAGACAAUGCCCCUGCUCUAAUGGAGUUUCCCUUUUGCAGGGGAGCAUUCACUGGGGCCACAAAAUGACUCUGGUCAAGGCUGACAGAGACCUCUAAUACUUAAGGUGAAAGGAACUCUAUGGAGAUUUACUAUAAUGCAAAAUACUAAAAAGACAUCCAAGAGACCAUUAAAUUGGACUGCUGUCUAGUUUCCAUUAAUGCUAAUAGUUAUACACUGAUAAGUUAGGAAGUAGGUUACUAAAUCUUCACAUGUGAGCCACAUCACAUUUGUUUUGAGCCUAGCACAUAAUAGGAGUUGAAUAUGGCAAAUUAUUUAGUGAAUACAAGAUUCCUUUUGUACAUAUAUUCAUGAAAUUGCAAUAAAGAACCAACUCUGAGAUGUCUUUAAUCAGAAUAUGUAUUAAAAUUAUUCCAAAGUAAAUGUAUUUAACCAAUUCUUGCUAAAUGAUGAUAAAUGUAACAUGUUUUAUAACUUAAGUUAGAACUUAAGAGUCACAAAUACAUAUAUUUAUUUAUUUAUUUCAAAUACAUACAUUUAUUUAUUCUUCACUAGAUUCUCAAAGGGUAGAAAUUAUCAUGUAUAAUUUUCAAGCGAGAAAAUUGAGGCGCUGCUCGAGUACUCUUUCUUAAAUCAUAUUGGCUUGCCAAAAGAAUUUAUUAAUGAAAAGAAAAAUUAAUGUCAAAAAACCGUUAGGUCUCCCUCUCCCUCUCCCCCUCCCCCUCCCCCUCUCCCGUCUCCCCCACGGCCUCCCUCUCCCUCUCUUUCCACGGUCUCCCUCUGAUGCCGAGCCGAAGCUGGACUGUACUGCUGCCAUCUCGGCUCACUGCAACCUCCCUGCCUGAUUCUCCUGCCUCAGCCUGCCAAGUGCCUGCGAUUAUAGGCGCGCGCCACCACGCCUGACUAGUUUUCGUACUUUUUUGGUGGAAACGGGGUUUCGCUGUGUUGGCCAGGCUGGUCUCCAGCUCCUAACCACGAGUGAUCUGCCAGCCUCGGCCUCCCGAGGUGCCGGGAUUGCAGACGGAGUCUCGUUCACUCAGUGCUCAAUGUUGCCCAGGCUGGAAUGCAGUGGCGUGAUCUCGGCUGGCUACAACCUCCACCUCCCAGCCGCCUGCCUUGGCCUCCCAAAGUGCCAAGAUUGCAGCCUCUGCCCGGCCGCCACCCCGUCUGGGAAGUGAGGAGCAUCUCUGCCUGGCCACCCAUCGUCUGGGAUGUGAGGAGCCCCUCUGCCCGGCUGCCCAGUCUGGGAAGUGAGGAGCACCUCUUCCCAGCCGCCAUCCCGUUUAGGAAGUGAGGAGCGUCUCUGCCCGGCUGCCCAUCGUCUGAGAUGUGGGGAGCGCCUCUGCCCCGCCACCCCAUCUGGGAUGUGAGGAGCGCCUCUGCCCGGCCGCAACCCUGUCUGGGAGAAACCCUUAAUCCCAGUCUAAUCAUCAGAAAACAUCAGUCAAAUCCAGACUGGAGGAGGAGGCAUUCUACAGGAUACCUGGCCAGUGCCCAUCUAGACUUUCACAAGAAAAACAACAGAAGACUGGUAAACUGUCCCAGACCCGAGGAGACUGGGAGACAUGACAACUAAAUGCAAUGUGGUACAUCUUGUAUGGGGCCCAUGAACAGAAGGAGAACAUUAGUAGAAAACUGGAGAAAUCCAAAGAGUCUCAAAUUUAGUUCAUAGUAAUGUUCUAAUGUCAGCCUCUGAGUUGUGACAAACAUACCAUGGUAAUAUAAGAUGUUAACAAUAGGGAAAACUGGAUGAAGGGUGUACAGAAACUCUCUGUAUUGUUUGCAACUUUUCUUCGUGAGACAGAGUCUCACUCUGUCACCUAGGCUGGAGUGCAGUGGUGUGAUCUCGGCUCACUGCAACCUCCGCCUCCUGGGUUCACGCCAUUCUCCUGCCUCAGCCUCCUGAGUAGCUGGGACCACAGGGGCGUGCCACCACACCCAGUUAAUUUUUUGUAUUUUUAGUAGAGACGGGGUUUCACUGUGUUAGACAGGAUGGUCUCGAUCUCCUGACCUCGUGAUCCGCCCACCUUGGCCUCCCAAAAGUGCUGGGAUUACAGGCGUGAGCAACUGCACCCAGCCUGCAACUUUUUUAUAAUCAAAAUUACCCCAAAAUAGAAAGUUUAUUUUUAAAAAGAGAAAGAAAGAAAAUGUGGUAGUUACCCACUAUGUUGAUUUUACAACCUACUAAAACAGUGCAAACUGAAGUUUGAAGAACACUGCUUCAUGAAAUUUAUGACUCCUGGCAAAAAUGAUCAGAAAUGUUCGGUAGCCCGUACGUGAUUUUGUUGAAAAAAAGUAUUUCAGAAAGCUACGUUAUUAAUGGAAAAUAUAAAAAACAGUUCUAAAAUGCAACUACUGUCUGUAAUUAUUCCAACCCGGAAAUUUCCAUUCCUACAUGAAUCCCCUUGAGAACUAAAUUUCUACAGCUGAUUUUGUAAAAGACAAAGAAAAGGAAAGUAAGGAGAUUUUAAGUAAGAUGAAUUA